UACAGAGGUCCCGAGCGUUGUUCGGAUUCACUGGGCGUAAAGGGUGCGUAAGUGGCGAGGUAAGUCGGAUGUGAAAGCUCGGAGCUCAACUCCGAAAUGGCAUUGGAAACUACCUUGCUCGAGGGUUGGGAGGGGGGACUGGAAUACUUGGUGUAGCAGUGAAAUGCGUAGAUAUCAAGUGGAACACCAGUGGCGAAGGCGAGUCCCCUGGACAACUCCUGACACUGAGGCACGAAAGCUAGGGGAGCAAACAGG
rnacentral:rRNA from 1 species